rnacentral:rRNA from 1 species
CCUGGCAGUGGCGGACGGGUGAGUAACGCGUAAGAAUUUAUCCAUGGGUGGGGGACAACCGCGGGAAACUGCGGCUAAUACCGCAUGAUGACUGAGGUCUAAAGGCGCAAGUCGCCUGUGGAGAAGCCUGCGUCUGAUUAGCUUGUUGGUGGGGUAAUGGCCUACCAAGGCGAUGAUCGGUAGCUGGUCUGAGAGGAUGAUCAGCCACACUGGGACUGAGACACGGCCCAGACUCCUACGGGAGGCAGCAGUGGGGAAUAUUGGACAAUGGGCGCAAGCCUGAUCCAGCAAUGCCGCGUGAGUGAAGAAGGUCUUCGGAUUGUAAAGCUCUUUUGGCGGGGACGAUGAUGACGGUACCCGCAGAAUAAGCCCCGGCUAACUUCGUGCCAGCAGCCGCGGUAAUACGAAGGGGGCUAGCGUUGCUCGGAAUGACUGGGCGUAAAGGGCGCGUAGGCGGAUUGUACAGUCAGACGUGAAAUUCCUGGGCUCAACCUGGGGGCUGCGUUUGAUACAUAUAGUCUUGAGUGAGGAAGAGGGUUGUGGAAUUCCCAGUGUGGAGGUGAAAUUCGUACAUAUUGGGAAGAACACCGGUGGCGAAUGCGGCAACCUGGUCCUUUACUGACGCUGAGGCGCGAAAGCGUGGGGAGCAAACA